rnacentral:rRNA from 1 species
UGGGGAAUUUUGGACAAUGGGCGAAAGCCUGAUCCAGCAAUGCCGCGUGUGUGAAGAAGGCCUUCGGGUUGUAAAGCACUUUUGUCCGGAAAGAAAUCCUUGGCUCUAAUACAGUCGGGGGAUGACAGUACCGGAAGAAUAAGCACCGGCUAACUACGUGCCAGCAGCCGCGGUAAUACGUAGGGUGCAAGCGUUAAUCGGAAUUACUGGGCGUAAAGCGUGCGCAGGCGGUUUGCUAAGACCGAUGUGAAAUCCCCGGGCUCAACCUGGGAACUGCAUUGGUGACUGGCAGGCUAGAGUAUGGCAGAGGGGGGUAGAAUUCCACGUGUAGCAGUGAAAUGCGUAGAGAUGUGGAGGAAUACCGAUGGCGAAGGCAGCCCCCUGGGCCAAUACUGACGCUCAUGCACGAAAGCGUGGGGAGCAAAACAGGAUUAGAUACCCUGGUAGUCCACGCCCUAAAACGAUGUCAGCUAGUUGUUGGGGAUUCAUUUCCUUAGUAACGUAGCUAACGCGUGAAGUUGACCGCCUGGGGAGUACGGUCGCAAGAUUAAAACUCAAAUGAAUUGACGGGGUCAUAGCUGUUUCCU